CACAUAUACACGAAAAAAUGAAAGCACCAAACACAAAUGAUGAAACCAAAAUAGAUGAAAGACGUAGUAAUUAUUUAUUUUUAAUUGUGUUUUCUUCUCUUAUUAUCAUGUAUUAUUUUUGUGUCAUUUUUUUUGUUUCGGUUUGUGUAUGU
rnacentral:ribozyme from 12 species